rnacentral:rRNA from 1 species
CGAAACCUGCCCAGCAGAACGACCCGCGAACACGUGAUGCCCCCGGUUACGCCGGACGGGGAGCGGUGAAACGCCCCCCGUACGGAAAAAACGAACCCCCGGCGCGAUCUGCGCCAAGGAAAACGAAAAACGGAUCGGGCACCCGCGAGGACGCGCCCCCCGAACUCUUAA